AGCAGCAGCAGCAGCAGGUAGCAGGAUGCUACAAACAUUUAGCUAAUCAACAACAGGUAGCAUGCUAACAGUGUUUAUAAUCACAGAGAUUUCUCUCUAGCUAACAACAAACACUAAACAAAUAGUUUUACUAUGUGUGUGAAGACAAAACGCAGAAGUAAAUUAGAAUAAUUUUGAAGUUAAUUGCCAAUUAAUCCAGAUGACAAACAACACAUCUGCAUCCCAGCAAACAUCUGGAAGAGCACCGAGACGGUUGGACCUCCAGAACGUCUACAGUCCAUCUGGACGUGUGUCAUGUGACCUCUCCACCUGACCGGAGCUGAACGCUGGCCAGACCCCAUCAGGAAGGGAGCAGGUCCCACCCCUGGUUCAGAUGGGUCUUGUGGAGGUUAACUCUUCAGCUGCCGCCCUCUCUUAUUCUCUUUCUUUAUUCCCACCUAAAAUCAACUCGUACCUCCCGCGAGGCCGGCGGUCGGCUCGUGUUUUCACGGACGCCUCUGCCAGACCGUUUGUGGCGCGUAGCCGGUGUUUUCGAGGGAGACCCGACGCCACAAAAUGGGGCAGAGCUGUGUGUUGUGAAAGGACACGAAUCAACCUUUUAUUACUCUGAUGUUUCAUUCACUAACAGAGAGAAAAAACUCAGAGUGGCUCCGUGUU